GACGAACGCUGGCGGCGUGCUUAACACAUGCAAGUCGAACGGUGAAGCGCCUUCCUUUUUGGUGGGUGUGGAUGAGUGGCGAACGGGUGAGUAACACGUGAGUAACCUGCCCCCUUCUUCUGGAUAACCGCAUGAAAGUGUGGCUAAUACGGGAUAUUCUGGGUCUGUCGCAUGAUGGGUCUGGGAAAGAUAUUGUUUCGGUGGGGGAUGGGCUCGCGGCCUAUCAGCUUGUUGGUGGGGUGAUGGCCUACCAAGGCGGUGACGGGUAGCCGGCCUGAGAGGGUGGACGGUCACACUGGGACUGAGACACGGCCCAGACUCCUAAGGGAGGCAGCAGUGGGGAAUAUUGCACAAUGGGCGAAAGCCUGAUGCAGCGACGCCGCGUGAGGGAUGGAGGCCUUCGGGUUGUGAACCUCUUUCGCCAGUGAAGCAGGCCUGCCUCGUUUGUGGGUGGGUUGACGGUAGCUGGAUAAGAAGCGCCGGCUAACUACGUG
rnacentral:rRNA from 1 species